UACGAAGGGGGCUAGCGUUGCUCGGAAUUACUGGGCGUAAAGGGCGCGUAGGCGGCUUAGUCAGUCAGGCGUGAAAUUCCUGGGCUUAACCUGGGGUCUGCGUUUGAGACGGCUAGGCUAGAGGGUAGGAGAGGGUCGUGGAAUUCCCAGUGUAGAGGUGAAAUUCGUAGAUAUUGGGAAGAACACCGGUGGCGAAGGCGGCGACCUGGCCUAUUACUGACGCUGAGGCGCGACAGCGUGGGGAGCAAACAGGAUUAGAUACCCUGGUAGUCCACGCCGUAAACGAUGUGCGCUGGAUGUUGGGGCCCAUAGGGUCUCAGUGUCGUAGCUAACGCGGUAAGCGCACCGCCUGGGGAGUACGGCCGCAAGGUUG
rnacentral:rRNA from 1 species